GCAAACGAACUCGGAGACAUCGGCGGUAGUCCCGGGAAGAGUUGUCUUUUCUUUGUAAGGGGCGCACUCCCUGGAAUCGGUUUGCCUGGAGAUAGGGAUGUUGUUUCCGUAAAGCACCGCGGCUCUUGUGCC